GAAGAACGUUCCUGUUUACGUCACUUGUCCUGAAUGUGAACUAGGAUGCCUGCGUUAUUGUCGCGUAACCAAGUAUUGAGAAAAAAAAGCUUGGAGAACAAUCAAGAAAGUAUGUAAUUCAGUGUUGGCUGAAUGCAAGCCUUUAAUGGUUUCACUUGGAAACAUAGAAGAGCAGUUGAGGGCGUUUCAAAAGAUCAAAAUCGCCAACACCUCUCUUCACACUUUUCCUGAUCUGCACCAGCGUCCUCCCUUCAAGCUCCUACAGGGCAGUAGACAUAAUUCUGUGCGAGAUGCUAUCAGUAAUCAGGUGUCUGGUGCGUUCCUGUUGUAUGAGCAGAAUCUCGACACCCUUGCUACCUACACCCAGAGAUCUGCAGUCGCUCCAUCCAUCGCUUGGAGUGGCUUCGGGAUGCGGGGCAUUACUGUCACCAACAGUAUCCUUUCUGUGUCACUGUAUUACUGUACCAUUACUAAUGAUGCACAAUAAAUGGUCAUUGUGAGCAUGCCACUAGACUGCAUACUGCCGCGGAAGGCUUGAUGCUGAAACGCAUCACUUCCGUGUGUGGCAUUAUAAAUCUUGAAAUCUACCAUUUGGUAAAGGUUGUUUCUAUUGUUGAUUUGUGUGAGAAAGAUAGUCUAACAUCAUCUGCGUGCACAGGUUCCUGAGAAGAAAGAACGUGCUGCAGACACUGAGGGCUGAUGACCCCUGCCUUCUGGAAACUGCUCCCAAGAGACAUCUGGGUCCCUGAAAACAGUGAAGAAGAGAGCAUAUCAGACCGACGCUCCACCUUCACAAGCCCGGGACCUUUACCUCUCUCCAUCAUCCUCUCAACUGCAAUCACCUGUUUCGCAGCCUAGGCCUACCAAUAUCAACCCGUUUCACUUUGAAGAUUAGGUCCUCGUUUUCAUCAGCAGGCAGUCCUACCACUAUUAUAGACACGUCUGGGUCGAAUGUUGUUUAGCCAGAUUACUCGCCAAACAACCCCCGACAAGUAUGUCUAUUGACUUUCACCCUCAACUGGGUUUCAGCUUUUUCAUUUUUUUAUUAAUUUGUAAACAUUUCUAAAAACAUAAUUCCACUUUGAAAUUAUGGGGUAUUGUGUGGCACAUGUUCGAAUCACCGGCGAUUUACAGCUGUGAGUUUUCUGGGUAAGUCUAAGAGCUUUGCCCACCUAGAUUGUACAAUAUU